rnacentral:rRNA from 1 species
UACCGCAUAACCAUAGUUACCGCAUGGUAGCUAUGUAAAAGGUGGCUAUGCUACCGCUUUUGGAUGGGCCCGCGGCGCAUUAGCUAGUUGGUGGGGUAAAGGCUUACCAAGGCAAUGAUGCGUAGCCGAACUGAGAGGUUGAUCGGCCACAUUGGGACUGAGACACGGCCCAAACUCCUACGGGAGGCAGCAGUAGGGAAUCUUCCACAAUGGGCGAAAGCCUGAUGGAGCAACGCCGCGUGGGUGAAGAAGGUCUUCGGAUCGUAAAACCCUGUUGUUAGAGAAGAAAGUGCGUGAGAGUAACUGUUCACGUUUCGACGGUAUCUAACCAGAAAGCCACGGCUAACUACGUGCCAGCAGCCGCGGUAAUACGUAGGUGGCAAGCGUUAUCCGGAUUUAUUGGGCGUAAAGGGAACGCAGGCGGUCUUUUAAGUCUGAUGUGAAAGCCUUCGGCUUAACCGGAGUAGUGCAUUGGAAACUGGGAGACUUGAGUGCAGAAGAGGAGAGUGGAACUCCAUGUGUAGCGGUGAAAUGCGUAGAUAUAUGGAAGAACACCAGUGGCGAAAGCGGCUCUCUGGUCUGUAACUGACGCUGAGGUUCGAAAGCGUGGGUAGCAAACAGGAUUAGAUACCCUGGUAGUCCACGCCGUAAACGAU